CAGCCAGACUCCUACGGGAGGCAGCAGUGGGGGAUAUUGCACAAUGGGGGAAACCCUGAUGCAGCGACGCCGCGUGUGGGAAGACGGUCCUCUGGAUUGUAAACCCCUGUCCCCAGGGACGAAAAUGACGGUACCUGGGGAGGAAGCUCCGGCUAACUACGUGCCAGCAGCCGCGGUAAUACGUAGGGAGCGAGCGUUGUCCGGAAUUACUGGGUGUAAAGGGAGCGUAGGCGGGGAUGCAAGUUGGGUGUUAAAUCUACCGGCUCAACUGGUAGUCGCACUCAAAGCUGCAGCUCUUGAGUGAAGUAGAGGCAGGCGGAAUUCCUAGUGUAGCGAUGAAAUGCGUAGAUAUUAGGAGGAACACCAGUGGCGAAGGCGGCCUGCUGGGCUUUUACUGACGCUGAGGCUCGAAAGUGUGGGGAGCAAACAGGAUUAGAUACCCUAGUAAU
rnacentral:rRNA from 1 species